rnacentral:ncRNA from 1 species
AAAAGACUUAGUCCUAACCUUACUGUUAGUUGUUGCUAGGCAUAUACAUGCGAGUAUCCGCGCUCCAGUGUAAAAGCCCUCAGAACCUCAUUCCCCAGGUCAGUAGGAGCGGGUAUCAGGCUCACCUUAACUGUAGCCCAAGACGCCUUGCACUUGCCACACCCCCACGGGUAUUCAGCAGUAAUUAAUAUUAAGCAAUGAGUGCAAACUUGACUUAGCCAUAGCAAAUUAGGGGUGGUAAAUCUUGUGCCAGCCACCGCGGUCAGACAAGAAACCCGAAUUAACUUUCAUACAAAACGGCGUAAAGGGUGGUAACAUGCUAUCAAAGUAACUAAGAUUAAAAUGCAACUGAGCUGUCACAAGCCCAAGAUGCCCAUAAGGCCACCAUUUCCAAAGAAGAUCUUAGACUAACGAUGAAUUGAAAUCCACGAAAGCCAGGGCCCAAACUGGGAUUAGAUACCCCACUAUGCCUGGCCGUAAAUAACGAUGCUUUAUCUCACCUGAGCAUCCGCCCGAGAACUACGAGCACAAACGCUUAAAACUCUAAGGACUUGGCGGUGCCCUAAACCCACCUAGAGGAGCCUGUUCUAUAAUCGAUGAUCCACGAUAGACCUAACCAUUUCUUGCCAAAUCAGCCUAUAUACCGCCGUCGCCAGCUCACCCACUCUGAAGGACCAACAGUGAGCGCAAUAGCCUUACCACGCUAAUAAGACAGGUCAAGGUAUAGCCUAUGGAAUGGGAGCAAUGGGCUACAUUUUCUAGUAUAGAACAUCACGGCAAAGAGGCAUGAAACUGCCUCUGGAAGGCGGAUUUAGCAGUAAAGUGGGACAAUCGAGCCCUCUUUAAGCCGGCCCUGGGGCACGUACAUACCGCCCGUCACCCUCCUCAAAGGCGACCCAACCCCCCCCCAUAACUAAUAAGCUAUUCAGCCAAAGAUGAGGUAAGUCGUAACAAGGUAAGUGUACCGGAAGGUGCACUUAGACUACC